UCCACAGUAUUUGAAAUGUAUAUGGUAUUACAAGAAACAAUUCUGCGUGAGUUCAAGAUUGUGAUUCUACAGAGAAAUAGCUGAACAAUGGACCUUCAUUUUGAUUUUCAGACUGUGCUUUGCCAGUUUCCUGUUCCCACUGAUCAUUGGCAGGGAACCUAUAAAAAUGGCCAGCAGGAAAUCACCUGCAUCCUCCCUUUGGUUUAUCAAAAACCUCUGUGUAAUAUUAAUUCAGAUAAGCUAAAGAUCAGUCUAUGGUUCAUGGGUGAAAUCAUCUUUA